rnacentral:rRNA from 1 species
CCUACGGGAGGCAGCAGUGAGGAAUAUUGGUCAAUGGUCGGGAGACUGAACCAGCCAAGCCGCGUGAGGGAUGAAGGUACAGAGUAUCGUAAACCUCUUUUGUCAGGGAACAAAGGCGGGGACGUGUCCCCGGAUGAGUGUACCUGAAGAAAAAGCAUCGGCUAACUCCGUGCCAGCAGCCGCGGUAAUACGGAGGAUGCGAGCGUUAUCCGGUUUUAUUGGGUUAAAGGGGUGGGCAGGCGGUCUGUUAAGUCAGCGGUAAAAGCCCGGGGCUCAACCCCGGCCCGCCGUUGAAACUGGCAGUCUCGAGUUGGAGAGAAGUAUGCGGAAUGCGCGGUGUAGCGGUGAAAUGCAUAGAUAUCGCGCAGAACUCCGAUUGCGAAGGCAGCAUGCCGGCUCCACACUGACGCUGAGGCACGAAAGCGUGGGUAUCGAACAGGAUUAGAUACCCGAGUAGUC